UAACGCGUGGAUAACCUGCCUCACACAGGGGGAUAACAGUUGGAAACGACUGCUAAUACCGCAUAAGCGCACAGCACCGCAUGGUGCAGUGUGAAAAACUCCGGUGGUGUGAGAUAGAUCCGCGUCUGAUUAGCUUGUUGGCGGGGUAACGGCCCACCAAGGCGACGAUCAGUAGCCGACCUGAGAGGGUGACCGGCCACAUUGGGACUGAGACACGGCCCAA
rnacentral:rRNA from 1 species